GUUGUGGAGAUGGGGACUUGAGGUUCUUGGAUUCCUGCAAUUUGGAGUAUCGGAGAAGAUGAGCUACAGGGGUAGCUUUGGUUGAAAUCGAAUAAGAGGUCCGAAUGGGUUGAUAGUGAUGGACUGCAGCAACUAGAAAUAGCCUCUGGCUGGGGAAAAGAAGAAUGGUAAGGGACUGUGUAUUUUGGAAACUAUUUGGCCGUGUACUGUUUGUACUUAUCAAAGUUAUGGUUUUAUUGA